AUGGAAAGAGCACCAGUUUUUCUUACCUGUAGGGUGGGGGUGGGGGGGUCAGAAUCUUGUCCCCUGCAGGGUUAUUGUGGUGACCACAGAUUGCAUUUGGAAGUGCGCUGUGCGCUACAGAGUGCUGAGCGAAUUAAAGGUUUUGUUGUUUUCUCUUCAAGGACCUCAGUGAACAUUUGUGGAACUGACCCACGCUGGGCUGGGCGCUGCCUCUCUUCUUGGCAAGGAGAAGAUGGGCCACAAAACGGGAGAUCUCAGCCGCCCAGGCGACCCCUCCCCAGGUGUGGAUGCGGUCCUCAGAGCAGGAUCGAGGGAACUGGGGAAGACCACAAGGGCUGUCAUCUCGGGUACCUGGAGGAAGCCCCAGGCUGCCCCGCCGGGUGGGGUUCUCAGGGCCAGGAUCCAUCAAGAACCAGAGAGUCGGGACCCCUGGGUGGCGCAGCGGUUUGGCGCCUGCCUUUGGCCCAGGGCGCGAUCCUGGAGACCCGGGAUCGAAUCCCACAUCGGGCUCCCGGUGCAUGGAGCCUGCUUCUCCCUCUGCCUAUGUCUCUGCCUCUCUCUCUCUCUCUCUCUGUGACUAUCAUAAAUGAAUAAAAAUUAAAAAAAAAAAAAAAAAAGAACCAGAGAGUCUGGAAGGGCCUUCUGGGUCAUUUGACCUAAGGAGUAAAGAUGCUCAGGGAGAAGCAGCAGAGACGCCGUGGGGGAGCCCCACAGACCACUGGUGUCUCACACACGAGCGUCCUAGGCCAGACCAGAUCUGUGCGGCCGCCGGGGGCCCGCAAUCCUCUAUACAAGGGGCUUGGGCCACCCCGGUUUGCAAGGGGAGGGCGACAGGACUGCAGCAGCAGAGAAGUGCACGGAUCUGUUAGGGUGGAGGGUGU
rnacentral:lncRNA from 12 species